rnacentral:lncRNA from 1 species
UCCCUGUGCAUCAUUGCUGGGUGUGCCAGGAAUGCAACACCCUCGCCACUUUUUAUCCAGGCCGUUUCUCAGCGUUGGAUGUGCAAGCAGUUUUGAGAGAUGAAGUCAUGACUUCAAGACAAAAAAACAGGUUUGCUUAUUUUGCUACAAACCAAUAAGUUCUUCAGCCAUGCUGCAAAUCCACUGUGUAUCCAGUUCCCAUCUGCGGCCCGCACAUCAUCCCCAUGGGACUUGAGAGCAAGAGGAUCCCACGCAAAUCAUGUUGCUUGCUAUGCUGUUUGGAGAUGCGGACUGGCUUCCUUGUUCCUCAGCUUGCAGAUGGCCUACUGUGCGAUUUCACCUGGUGAUCAUCCUGCUGCCUGGAAUGCAUAUGUGAUGGCUGGAAUGCUAGCUCUAAUUUUGGAUCAUGAGGAAAAGUGCCACACCAUUGGAGAUGAGGGAUGAGCUGGAAGGGGUCCUGUGGCAGGGGAUCAUGUCCUGGGACAUACCAAGAGAGCAGCUUCUAGAGGACUGAUUAUCAGAGAGGAACUGGAAUGUGAAAAGACGUCUAACUAACCAUUAUUAAUGAUUCACUUGUAAUUUUCACUAAUGGAUGACCCACAUGAUUUCCUCUUCAAAGAAUUUGUCCAAAGCCACCCAUUUAAAAAAGAAAAGAAUGGAGGAUGGAAUCUCAUAAGUGAUCUUACCAUUUACAAAGCACAGUGUGAUUAAUCAAUUCUCCUUUAUAUUUUAGUGCCUACCGUGUUUCUUAAUUUGAUGGAGAAGCCUUCUUAUAAACACUCUUAGAAAAGCUAUAUGUAAUUAACUUUCUUCUUUGAGCAAAGGGACUUGUUUCUCUGAGAUGUCUAUAAAAGAUAAAGAGUUGAUGUGGGCCACACUCCUGCCUCUGCUUUCUCUUAGAGGUCUAAGGGUAAUUAGUGGACAAAAGCAGUCAAUUAAGCAGGUAUCUUCCCAGACACCAUGUCCACUCUUGAUGACUGUUGAAAACCUUAGAUAACCCCAUCAGGAACUGAGGUAAGGCCAUGAAUUGCCUUUAGUUUGAGCAUGGGUGAAUUUAAUCUCCUUAACCUAGUUAGGGAUUGGAAUCUGGCUCACCUUCAGGUUUUAUGAAUAAAGUUUUAUUGGAACACAGUCACUCCUAUUCGUUUUACAUCUAACUGUGGCUGCUUUUGUGCUACCAUAGCAGAGUUAAGUCACUCUAACAGAAAAUAGAUGGCUCACAAAGCCAAACAUAUUUUACUCCAUAGCCCUUUAAAAUCUGCUAACCUUUGAUAUGGUGACAGCAUGAAAUUUCUUUAAGCACUUGCCCAGUAUUAUAGAUUUUUUAUGAGCGAAUGUGAAUAUUAAUGUAAUGUAACUCAGGAAAGAAAUAUGUCUUGAACCCACAUUUAUAUAAAAUCAAUUUUGAUAGCAAGCUUAUUACUUCACAAAGAAAAAAAGUCUAUCCAUGUUUUUUCUGCUCAAAAAAAAUGUUGGCAGAGAAUGCUAUUAGAGUCAUAUAGGUAAAACAAACUUACAGGUAAAACAAGCUAAAUUUAACUUUUGCUCUAUGAAGUUUGCCAUGUUUCAAGGAAUAUAGUUAGACCCAGAAUGCCUUGAUAUUUUCAUAGUAAUGGGCCAUGCUCUAAUUUGGUGCUAUUUCCCUAUACUUAAUUGAGGAGCUAACAGUCAAUUGUGAGACUAAACCUUCAAUUAAUAAAAGCAGCAU